GUUGGAACGUUUCUUAUUGGGAACAGGCAUGUUCCAUUGAGAACGCAUUAUCUCUUUCUCACUACUUUCUUUUUUGUGAAGCCGAUUCUGAUUCUGACUCCUCUCACUCAGACAUCUCUUCUCACUCUCUCUGGAAUUUCGGCGAAGAUACAGUCCUAUCGAAAGAGGAAGAAGUCUUCGGUGAUGCCGGCGGAGCAGAAGGAGAAGCAUAAGUAGCAUUUGAAGAAGAUGAAGAAGUUGUCGUCGUCUAGCAACAGGCACCGCGGUGAUGGAGGUGACGUUAGGGCAUCGGACAUACUGGUGAAGCACCAAUGUUCGAGACGCAAGGCGUCGUGGAAGGAUCUAGAACGCCAGGUCAUCAAAAAGACCACCAGAAACAGCGCUGCUUUUUAGGUAAAGGGCUUCUGUGACGACAUCGUUUCUGGCAAAGCCAAGUUUGAGGACAUCACCUUUCGCUUCUCCGAUUGUAGUUCUGCCAAGCACGCUGGUGAUCUUGGUCAGUCCCUCUCUUCGUAUAAUUUCAAAUUUAACCAGAAAAAUAUCUAUUUACUUAGUACAGGAAGUUAAAACCGUUGUUAACAUUUCCUAUUAUGUUUAGAUCUUGCUUGAGCAAUUAGGUAUCAUUAUCCAUUGUCGUUGUUCAAUCUGCAAUUUGUUAUUUGUUAUCAACUUCUCAAGAUAAUAAGGAAGUAUGAUUGAGUUUACGAAGUGAUAAAUUUGAUACUUAAAGGGGUAUUUUCAUUUACAGUGGCUUUUACUUUGUUUUUCAGCUCUGUUGGAGUUUCAGCUGAACUCUUCUACAUGAUUGAUAAAACUUUGUAGCUUUUAUUUUUUUUAGGCUGGGUCAAUCUUCAUAAAUUUGGUAGUUAAAUGUGUGUUUUCAUUUACAUUGGUAUCUUAUCGAUUCAGAUUUGAGUUGGAACUAUUUUAAAAUCCAAAGGGCACUGUGUUUGAAUUUGGAUCGCUUGAGUUGUUCGUUUGUUACCUUUUGCAUUGAUGCUUCUUUUUUUUUCUAAUUGUUAGUUAAUUAUGUGUUUUCAGAACCAAUUUUACGCUUAUUAGUUUGUAUGAAUUCAUUAUUAACAUUAAUUAAAGCUAUGUUAGUAAAAUAUUCUAAGUUCUUAUUAUGAUUUGAUACAUGAUAAAUAGGUCACUCCCAAUUUGGAUUGCAGAAUAGUUCAUGUACUGCUAGAGGAUGGGAAUGAUCUUGAUACUAGCUGUGCCUUCUUUUUAACUUUGAAUACUUUCUUGUUUGCCUUUUUCUAGUGCUACAUUUUGGUCUUCAUCCCUUGAAUUUUCAGUAUAGUAUUCAAUUGGCCUUUAUCUCCAUUCCAAAAUGCCCUGAAUACUUACAAUGUUAAGGAAAUUAGAAACUGCUUUGAGAAUAAAUUUUGGACAUAUUUGCUUUUCAAUAUAGUAUUUUCCUUCUCAUUGUCUACAAACUAUUCGUUGCUCUCACUUUCGACUUAUGUCAAUGAUAGACUCAUAUGGAUCUAUUCUGCGGUGCAAGUGUUUUCAGUGUUUGAAGCCUAUUGAAAAACAUUCACUUAUUGGUGCCAAUGGGGAAAUACGUGAUUUUCAGGAGAUUCUACGCUACUUUGAUGAACUUAUAUGAGCAUUUUUCCCCCAAAGGAGUCGCUAUGGAGGUGCCUUACAAACUUUCCUUAGGCAUCAAUGGAACAAUGGCUGACCUAGCUGCUCUUGCUUCUUCCCCUUGAGCUAUAGAAUCACGUUGCCACUUUAAGUGCAAAUAAUGUUGGUUGCUUUUCGAGGAAGAUCUUCAGGCAUCUUAAUUAACAUCGAACUCCGACCCUGUGAAAAUUACGCCUUUGCUGGAUCCAUUUCCUCUUAGUGUGAUUUUGCAAUUUGUAAGUGUUCAUUCGGUUCGCAGUGUGAUAUAUUUUGAAGUGUGUUUCUUAUUGUUUUUUUCUGCGAUCAUUUGCACAUUGGAUUAUAUAAAAAUUACUUUUCAUAGGUAUUGAAGUGUCAUCCUGCUUUUACUUAUGUGGUGGAGAAAGAUUCCUAGAAUUGUACCUUUACUUUCAUACUCUGGUUAGAAGUUGAUGACAUGGUACUAACAUAGACCUCUCUGUAAUUCAGGUACCACCUGUCAUAGUGUUCUGUUCUGCCUCUUCAGGACUCGCAUGUAAUUUAGUUAGUGGUUGUUUAGCAUGAUUUAUAUAUUCUUACAGAGUCGUUUGGUAUCGGUUCAAGGUUGA